GGCCUGUGAUGCAUAGAAAAUUGUCCGUACCAUCUGAUGAUAUCUAUCUCUUGAUGCAUUGAAACAUCUCUACUUCUGAGGCCU